GCCUUAUGAGAGGUCAUGCAAGAGCCACAAAGCUUGGGUUGUCAAUCCCCUUUAUCCUCCCUUGUGGAUCGCUGCUUGACGAUCCCAUGACCAUGUUGGGUACCUCACAUGGCUAACCCUGGCAUUUGCUACAUGAACUUCGGUUAGUAAGUUUUGGUGUUUCUAUAUUUCCUUUUUGAUUCGGUUUUAGACUUAUACUGAAAGAGUAUCCCGUGUCCGGUUCACCAAGGAUAUGGAUGCCUUCCACCCGAGGCAUACCCCCUAUUAAAUAGUUAGGCUUAUGCCCCCAUUUUCUGCAGCCUAGUGAUGUGGUACUAAAAACCAAAUGGACAAGCCCCCCGGGAGAGACUCAUUGGUGUGGGUAAGAAAAAUAGGUGUUGUAGAUUAUUGGGCAUUGCCUAUUUGCCUACAAUAUUGAGGUGGAUGCACACAUGAGUUAUUGGGUCUUCCCUGACUUGCACACACGACCACAUGGCGCUCACCUUAACCUUAGGGGAGUGACUCUGUGUCGACUAUUGUGAGACGAAACAAGGUGUCGCCUAGAGUGCUUACGAAAUUGGCUAGAACACCAUGCUGGGCGACCAUCGGCCUUAAGAGUUGAUUUUUAUCUUUUUUUUCUUUCUUUUAUAUUUAUUUUAACAGUUUUCCAUUAUAUUUCAUAGUUUAUGCUCAUAUAUAUCCACCCCUGUAACUGCUCAACUACCGACCCACUACAAUCACUAGGAAAAUGCUUGUGCAUUUCUACAUGCAACAUGAAUCCAUUAAUCACAAUUUAGCAAAUGCGUACACCAAUAAGUGAAGCAUUGUUUGAUAUCUAGCUGAAUGUCCAUUAUUCGAUAUCAUAUGUCAAUAUCCAUGAAUUGCGACCAGAAAUAUAUUACUAUGAUGACCAAAGGCAUGAGAAACACAAAAAUCAAGCACAACAAAAUAUUUCCCAACAACUGCCAAAGAAAAAGAUUGCAAAUAACGACUUAAAGAAACCAACAUCCCAACAUAUGAAUUAAACAGAACUAACAAGCCUUUGAACAAACAAGAUUUAACAUGACACUGAUUGGGUAUGCUUAAUUUGCACGAUACAAUGGUUCACGGGGAAACAAGUUUGUGUUGAGUGAUACAAGUUUGGUCUAUUCAACAAAACACAUAAAAUUUCCUGACUUAGGCAUUUAUAUCAAAAGUAUUCAAAGUCUUUAUCUAGAUAGAUCCAAACAAAUAAACAAGGAUGAGAACUUCCAAAUAAUCUUAUAGAUUGUGAAUCUAGCAACAUGAGUAUCAAUUCUACACUUUCCACAUAGGCAAUACAAUUUUAACUAGUGGGUUAUGUUUGUUUCCCGAAACAAGAUCAAGCGGGAGGUUGGUGUUAAUUCACCUAGGUGUAGAACCUUCUUUCACUGAACACCAAUCCAAAGCACCAUGCUUGUUGCUUCGAGGAUCACUUGUAGAGCUGCUGCGUCUCGGGACAAUGAGGGACUAGAGGAGUAGGUGACACUAUCUUUCCUAGAGGCGGGCCUACUACUGGUUGGGUCAUACUCUGCUGUGCAUCACAAUUCUUCAUCUUGUUUGGAAUUGAAGAGUGGUCCCGAGGCAGGAUGGCGCUCCCACAAGGGCUUGAUAAGUUGCACUAGAGUGUCCUUUGAGGAUUACUUAAAGACUCAGAGCGGCACCGAUUAUAGAGGGCAUGGGGAAUGCUUAGUUUCUUGAAGGCUAUGCUUUGUUUUUUGCUAGACGAUUUAGAUGUGGUCAGAUGGAGUUGGGCCAUGAAAUUAAAUUGAGAAAUUGAAGGGCAAAAGUUAAGAGAAACUUAGAGUUGUUCUUUAUGGAUGGCGAUAGGCCCAAGUUGCAUGUUUGUUGGUUUUGGGUGAUGAGAAUUGGAGAUUGGGAGGAAAGAGGAUAUGCUACGUUAGAAAAAAAAAACAUUAAAGAAUUCGAGUUUGGCUAUAUCAGUGCGAACUAUUAUGUUCAGCCUUUAGAUUCAGUUAUGUGCCCAACACUUCUUCCGAAACUGGUUUUGAUUCCUUUUUAGUUGUAUGUGUGCAGUUUUCAGAAUGGAGACUCACGCACAGCUUAUGACCGAUCAAUUAGACUCUACUUAUUAUGGCUUUUCCUUGUCUAGCCACCUUUCAUGACCAAAGAUUUAAAUGAUUUAUUGCUUUUGCCAUGCCUUAGGUAAAUGUUUCCUUUUUUAAGCCUACGUUAGUUUCAAAAUGUGCAAAGUUUAGUUAGCCGAAAAUGUAAGUGUGAUUUUUUUCAAAAAGAAAGUGUAGAGUGGAUUUUGGACGUUUUUACAAAGUGUGAAAUACACUUUUUUAGAAAAUAUUUGUACUUAUAUGAAACAAUAACCUAUUACUGCUUACUAUUGAAAUGUGUGUGCAAGGGUUAUUGAUUAUUUAGAGCCCACUAUGGUAUCCAUUGUCUAUCCAACACUCUAUCCAAACAUCAAAACACUAUUACCGUAACAUCAAGUAAGAAAUCAAUGCCUUGUGAACGUAUAUAUACACAUUUAUUUGAUAAGAAAUGUUAUGCUCAACCACGAGGGGAAGCGCCUCGUGUAACGAUCUCCAACCAAAACUACAUACUUACGUGAAUAAACAUUGUGACUCAUUUGCACAGUUAGCUUGUAUUGCAAGUACAAUAUGAUAUCAUACUUCAUAUGCACAAGUGUGGUGUACUUGGAUAAAGCAUAAGUGACCAUUGUAAUUACGUGUGAGAAUAUAUAACAAGAUUUUUAGUUUUGGGUAACCAAGGGAAAGUAAUUCAAUGAACCUCGCAUAUGUAUUCCUCCUCUGGAAUACAUUCAUCCAUCCUCUCGUCCUCCGAUAUGUAUAGAGUAGGCCACAAUAGGUUAAUGGGGGAAAGUUGUUUGUAAUUAGGUAUUGUGUAGAAAACAUUCAAGAUAAUCAUUGGCCUAAGACUAUAUCAAAAAUUUGCAAAUGAAGAGGAAAAGGAAGAUAUUUUGUUUAAUUGUGAUGCAAGAAGCCGCUUAACUACACUAUUUAGGUAGGCCAACACGUGUAGGCGGACCAGGUGGUAUAUAUUAUUGGUGUUGGAUUUCCAUUUUAGGCUCACUGGAACUUCAUGGGGUGUUUAUUUUUAUGGGCGUGCGCCAUGGAGAGCUAGCGAGUAAAUGUUUGCUUUGUAGAUGUGUCCUUAGUUUCUUCCCAUAUUUCAUGUUGGAUAUGAUUUGUUCUCCUAAAUUGGUUAAGAAAUAUUGGAAAUAGCUAACAAAGAUAAAAAAAACAUCAUGUCAUCGAAGAUCCACCCCCUCCGCUCGCACGAUAUUGCUUUGAAAAAUGGAAAUAAUCCCUUCAUGUCAUGGAAGAUCUACAUCCUUCCACUCACGCGAUAUCGCAUCAUCUAACCUCGGUCAGUCUUCCCCCUUUCCUCACAAAAUAUCGCGUCGUAUUGCAUGAGAUAUAUCCUGAAGUCCACUUAUUGUAGAACGACAAUAAAUUCUCUAGCCAACCUGCCAUUUGAGAUGUACCGGAAGCCUCCCCACCAUCCGAAAUUAAUGACACAUCUAAGCAAAGUGAGGGGUGGGUCUUGGGACUUACGAGAGGCCAUGCGAGAGCCGCAAUGCUUGGGUUGUUGACCCCAUUUAUUCUCCACGUGGAUCGCUUCUUAAUGGUCUCACGCUCGAGUUGGUCACCUCCCAUGGCUAAGCCUGGCAUCUGGUGUAAACUAAACUUAGGUUAGUAAAUUUUGGUGUUUCUAUAUUUGUUGUUCGAUUCUGUUUUCAAUUUUUUUCUAAAGGGUAGAAUGCAUUAGGCUAACUAAGGAUAUGGAUACCUUCAACACUUGGCACCCCACCAUAUUAAAUAGAAAAGGGGCCUACCUCAUUUGACGUAGCCACACGAUGUGGGAGAAAUCACGAAACAGACAAGCCCCACGAGAGAGACUGAUUGGAUUGGUUGCGAAGAAGAAGUUUUGUAGAAUAUUAGGCCUUGCGUAGUUGCAUACAAUGUUGAGGCGAAGAUCCAUAUUGUGCAGAUGUUUCGUUGUCAAACGGGCCAAAUAUCCCCUAAAUGGGUCAUCGGACGAUGAAAUCGAUCUUAGGACACUACCGAUUUGGCUAACGGCUUAUCAAAUCCCUAGUAUUUUGAAGUUGGGUUUGAGAUAGAGGAGCGAGGGUCGAUGUGUUUGCGGUUCUAGAGGAUUGCCAAAGAUGCCCUAAGAGACUUUAUGACUUGUUCUCACACGUUGCUCGUAUUAAAACUACAAUAGGAAAUCAUACUUCACAUGCACAAAUGUGUGGUGUACCUAGAUAAAGCAAUAGAGACAAUUGUAGUUACGUCUGACAACAUAUUAAAAAUAAUUUCAGUUUUUUGCAAUCAAGGGAAAGUAAAGUAAUGUCCUUCUCAUAUUUAUGCUCGCACUGAUCAUUUUCAUCCAUCCACUCGUCCUUAUAGCUGUAUAGAGUAGGUCACAAUAGGGCCAUGGGAGAGUGUUGUUUGUAAUUAGGUGGUAACUAUGUACAAGACAUACAAGGCAAUCAUUGUCCUAGAGCCUAUACCAUCCAUAUGGAAAUAAAGUGCAAAAGGAACAAAUUUUGUUUAACUCUAAAGCAAGACUUCGCUUAACUACACUAUUUAGACACGCCAACAUGUGUGGGAGGACUAGGUGGUAUUUUUGCGGUGAAUUUCCAUUUUAAGCUCAUUGGAACUCGAUGGGGAUGUUUGCUUUUUAGGUGUGACCCAUGGACAGUUAGCCAGCAAAUGCUAGCAUUGUAGAUGUGCCCUUUGUUUUUUCCCGUAUUUCAAGAUAGAUAUGCAUUUUUUUUCUUAAAUUGGUUAAGAAAACAUGGAAUUAACUAGCAACAAUGAGAAACACAUCACAUCAUUGAGGAUCACCCCCCCCCUCCGCCUCCACUCGCUUGAGGUCGCUUUGGAAAAAUGCAAAUUAUGACUUCACGUCAUGGAAGAUCCACACCCUUCCACUCACAUGAGAUCACAUCAUCUAACCCAAGAUCCGUCUUACCCCUUUCCUCACAGAAAAUCACAUCAUAAUGUGUGACAUAUAUCCUAAGGUCUAGCAUGAAAACAAAUUCUCUAGCCACCCCGCCACUUGAGACAUACCGAAACCCACCCCACCAUGUGACAUUGAACAUACAUGUAAGAAAGCGAAGGGUGGGCUUGGGAGUUAUGAGAGGUCACGCAAGAGAUAGAAUGCUUGGGCUAUCAAUCCACUUUAUCCUCCCUCGUGAAUCGCUGCUCGAUGGUCCCACGCUCAUGUUGGACACCUCACAUGGCCGAGCCUGGCAUUUGGUAUAUAUAUUUCCUUUUUGACUCAGUUGAUUAAGGAAAAUGGAAAUAACUAGCAACAAUGAAAAACCCAUCACAUCACUGAAGAUCACCCCCACUCCACUCACAUGAGAUCGCUUUGAAAAAAUGAAAAUUAUCACUUCACAUCAUUGAAGAUCCACACCCUUCCACUCACACGAGAUCACAUCAUCUAACCCAAGAUCUGUAUUCCCCUUUUCCUCACACAAGAUCAUUUCAUAACGUGUGACAUAUAUCCUAAUGUCUAGCAUGACAAUAAAUUCUCGCCCUGCCACUUGAGAUGUACCGAAACCCACACCAGAAUCUGACAUGAAACAUAAAUGUAAGAAAACGAGGCGUGGGUUUUGGUCCUUAUGAGAGGUCAUGCAAGAGCCACAAAGCUUGGGUUGUCAAUCCCCUUUAUCCUCCCUUGUGGAUCGCUGCUCGACGAUCCCAUGACCAUGUUGGGCACCUCACAUGGCUGGCCCUGGCAUUUGGUAUAUAAACUUAGGUAAGUAAGUUUUAGUGUUUCUAUAUUUCCUUUUUGAUUCGGUUUUCGACUUAUACUGAAAGAGUAUCCCGUGUCCGGUUCACCAAGGAUAUGGAUGCCUUCCACCCGAGGCAUACCACCCUAUUAAAUAGUCAAGCUCCUGCCCCCAUUUUCUGUAGCCUGGUGAUGUGGUACUAAUAACCAAAUGGACAUGCCCCACGGGAGAGAUUCAUUGGUGUGGGUAAGAAAAAUAGGUUUUGUAGAUUAUUGGGCAUUGCCUAUUUGCAUAUAGUAUUGAGGUGGAUGGCCCACAUGAGUGAUUAGGUCGUCCCUGACUUGCACACACGACCACAUGACACUUACCUUAUCCUUAGGGGAGCGACUCAGUGUUGACUAUUGUGAGAUGAAAUAAGAUGUCGCUUAGAGUGCUUACGAAAUGGGCCAGAAUACCAUGUUGGGCGACCAUCAGACUUAAGAGUUGAUUUUUUAUCUUCUUUUUUUCUNNNNNNUUUUAACAGUUGUCAUUCUAUUUCACAGUUUAUGAUCAUAUGUAUCCAACCCUGUAACUUCUCAAUUACCAAGCCACUACAAUCACUAGGAAAAUGCUUGUGCAUUUCUACAUCCAGCAUGAAUCUAUUAAUUACAAUUUAGCAAAUGCGUACACCAAUAAGUGAAGCAUUGUUUGAUAUCAUAGUUGAAUGUCCAUUAUUCGAUAUCAUAGGUUAAUAACCAUGAAUUGCGACCACAUAUAUAUUACUAUAAUGACCAAAGGCAUGAGAAACACAAAAAAUCAAGCACAACAUAAUAUUUCACAACAACUGCCAAAAAAAAGAGAAACCAACAUCGCAACAUAUGAAUGAAACAAAACUAAGAAGCCUUUGAACAAACAACAUUUAACAUGAUACUAGUUGGGUAUGCUCAAUUUGCACGAUCCAAUGGUUCACGAGGAAACAAGUUUGUGUUGAGUGAUACAAGUUUGGUCUAUUCAACAAAACACAUCAUAUUUCCUGACUUAGGCAUUUAUCUCAAAAGUAUUCAAAGUCUUUAUCUAGAUAGAUCCAAACAAAUAUACAAGGAUGAGAACUUCCAAAUAAUCUUAUAGAUUGUGAGUCUAGCAACAUGAGUAUCAAUUCUACACUUUCCACAUAGGCAAUACAAUUUUAACUAGUGGGUUGUGCUUGUUUCCCGAAACAAGAUCAAGCGGCAGGUUGGUGUUAAUUCACCUAGGUGUAGAACCUUCUUUAGCUGAACACCAAUCCAAAGCACCAUGCUUGUUGCUUCGAAGAUCACUUGUAGAGUUGGUGCGUCUCGGGACGACGAGGGACUAGAGGACUAGGUGGCACUAUUUUUCUGAGAGGCGGGCCUACUACUGGUCGGGUCAGACUCUGCUAUGCAUCACAAUUCUUGAUCUUGUUUGGAAUUGAUGAGGGGUCCCGAGGAAGGAUGGGGCUCACAAGAGGGCUUGAUAAGUUGCAUUAGAGUGUGCUUUCAGGAUCAUUUGAAGACUCACAGCGGCACCGAUUAUAGAGAGCAUUGGGAAUGCUUAGUUCCUUGAAGCCUACGAUUUGUUUUGUGCUAGAGGAUUUAGAUUUGUUCAUAUGGAGUUGGGCCAUGUAAUUAUAUUGAGAAAUUGAAGGGAAAAACUUAAGAGAAACGUAGAGUUGUUCUUUAUGGAGGGCGAUAGGCCCAAGUUGCAUCUUUGUUGGUUUUGGGUGAUGAGAAUUGGAGAUUGGGAGGAAAUAGGAUAUGCUACGAUAGAAAAAAAAACAUUGAAGAUUUCGAGUUUGGCUAUAUCAGUGUGAGCUAUUAUGUUCAGCCCUUAGAUUCAGUUUUGUGCCCAACAGUUCUUCCGAAACUGGUUUUGAUUCCGUUUUUGUUGUAUGUGUGCAGUUUUCGGAAUGGAGACUCCCGCACCACUUAUGACCGAUCAACUAGACUCUACUUACUAUCGCUUUUCGAUGUCUAGCCACCUUGCAUGACCAAAGAUCUAAAUGAUUUAUUGCUUUUGCCAUACCUUCGGUAAAUGUUUCUUUUUUCGAAGCCUACGUUAGUUUCAAAAUGUGCAAGUUUAGUUAGCCGAAAAUGUAAGUUCGAUUUUUUUUCAAAAAGAAAGUGUAGAGUGGAUUUUGGAUGUUUUUACAAAGUGUGAAAUACACUUUUUUAGAAAACAUUUGUACUUAUAUGAGAAAAUAACCUAUUACUGCUUAGUAUUUAAAUAUGUGUGCUAGGGGUAUUGAUUAUUUAGAGCCCACUGUGGUAUCCAUUGCCUAUCCAACACUCUAUCCAAACAUCAAAACACUAUUACCGUAACACCAAGUAAGAAAUCAAUGCCUUGUGAAGGUAUAUAUACACAUUUAUUUGAUAAGAAAUGUUAUCCUCAACCACGAGGGGAAGCGCCUCGUGUAACGAUACUCAGCAAAAACUACUUACUUACGUGAAUAAACAUUGUGACUCAUUAGCACACAGUUAGCUUGUAUUGAAAGUACAAUAUGAUAUCAUACUCCACAUGCACAACAGCACAAGUGUGGUGUACUUGGGUAAAGAAUUAGUGACCAUUGUAAUUCCGUGUGAGAAUAUAUAACAAGAUUGUUAGCUUUGGGUAACCAAGGGAAAGUAAUGCAAUGUCCCUCGCAUAUAUAUUCCUCCUUUGGAAUAAAUUCAUCCAUCCUCUCGCCCUCCGAUAUGUAUAGAGUAGGGCACAAUAGGUUAAUGGGGCAAAGUUGUUUGUAAUUAGGUAUUGUUUACAAAACAUUCAAGAUAAUCAUUGUCCUAAGACUAUACCAAAUAUUUGCAAAUGAAGAGCAAAAGUAAGAUAUUUUGUUUAAUUGUGAUGCAAGAAGCCGCUUAACUACACUAUUUAGGUGGGCCAACACGUGUAGGCGGACCAGGUGGUAUAUAUUGUUGGUGUUGGAUUUCCAUUUUAGGCUCACUUCAACUUCAUGGGGUGUUUGUUUUUAUGGGCGUGUGCCAUGGAUAGCUAGCGAGUAAAUGUUUGCUUUGUAGAUGUGUCCUAAGUUCUUCCCAUAUUUCAUGUUCGAUAUGAUUUGUUCUCUUAAAUUGGUUAACAAAUAUUGGAAAUAACUAACAAACAUAAAAACAUCAUGUCAUCGAAGAUCUACAUCCUUCCACUCAUGCGAUAUCGCAUCAUCUAACCUGGGUCAGUCUUCCCCCUUUCCUCACAGAAUAUCGCGUCGUAAUGCAUGAGAUAUAUCCUGAAGUCCACUUAUUGUAGCAUGAUGAUAAAUACUCUAGCCACCCCGCCAUUUGAGACGUACCGGAAGCCUCCCCACCGUUCGAAAUUAAUGACACAUGUAAGCAAAGUGGGGGUGGGUCUUGGGACUUACGAGAGGCCAUGUGAGAGCCGCAAUGCUUGGGUUGUUGACCCCAUUUAUUCUCCACGUCGAUCGCUUCUUGAUGGUCUCACGCUCGAGUUGGUCACCUCCCAUGGCUAAGCCUGGCAUCUGGUGUAAACUAAACUUAGGUUAGUAAAUUUUGGUGUUUCUAUAUUUGUUGUUUGAUUCUGUUUUCAAUUUAUUCCUAAAGGGUAGGAUGCAUUAGGCUAACUGAGGAUAUGGAUACCUUCAAUGCUUGGCACCCCACCAUAUUAAAAAUAAAUGGUCCCUACCCCAUUUUGUGUAGCCACACGAUGUGGGAGAAAUCACGAAAGGGACAAGCCCCACGGGAGAGACUGAUUGGAUUGGUUGAGAAGAAGAAGUUUUGUAGGAUAUUAGGCCUCGCGUAGUUGCAUACAAUGUUGAGGUGAAGAUCGAUAUGGUGCGGAUGUUUCCUUGUCAAACGGGCCAAAUAUCCCCUAUAUGGGUCAUCAGACGAUGAAAUCGAUCUUAGGACACUACCGAUUUAGCUAACGGCUUAUCAAAUCCCUAGUAUUUUUAAGUUGGGUUUGAGUUAGAGGAGCGAGAGUCGAGUGUAUGCGGUUCUAGAGGAUUGCCAAAGAUGCCCUAAGAGACUUUAUGAAUUAUUCUCACACAUUGCUCGUAUUAAAACUACAAUAGGAAAUCAUACUUCACAUGCAAAAAUGUGUGGUGUACCCAGAUAAAGCAAUAGAGACAAUUCUAUUUACGUGUGAGAACAUAUUAAAAUAAUUCCAGUUUCGUGCAAUCAAGGGAAAGUAAAGUAAUGUCCUUCUCAUAUUUAUGCUCGCACUAAUUACACUCAUCCAUCCACUCGUCCUUAUAGAUGUAUAGAGUAGGUCACAAUAGGGCCAUGGGAGAGUGUUCUUUUUAAUUAGGCGGUAACUCUGUACUAGACAUACAAGACAAUCAUUGGCCUAGAGCCUAUACUAUCCAUAUGCAAAUAAAGUGCAAAAGGAAGAAAUUUUGUUUAACUGUAAAGCAAGAAGCAGCUUAACUACACUAUUUAGGCGGGCCAACAUGUGUGGGAGGAGUAGGUGGUAUUUUUGCGGUGAAUUUCCAUUUUAACCUCAUUGGAACUCGAUGGGGAUGUUUGGUUUUUCGGUGUAACCCAUGGACAGCUAGCCAGCAAAUGCUAGCAUUGUAGAUGUGCCCUUUGUUUUUUCCCGUAUUUCAAGAUAGCUAUGCAUUUUUUGUCUUAAAUUGGUUAAGAAAACAUGGAAAUAACUAGAAACAAUGAAAAACACAUCAUGUCAUUGAGGAUCCCCCCCCCCCGGCCCCGCCUCCACUCGCUUGAGAUCAAUUUGAAAAAAUACAAAUUAUGACUUCACGUCAUGGAAGAUCCACACCCUUCCACUCACACGAGAUCACAUCAUCUAACCCAAGAUCCAUCUUACCCCUUGGCUCAUAGAAGAUCACAUCAUAAUGUGUGACAUAUAUCCUAAGGUCUAGCAUGACAACAAAUUCUCUAGCCACCCCGCCACAUGAGACAUACCGAAACCCACCCCACCAUGUGACAUUAAACAUACAUGUAAGAAAGAGAGGGGUGGGCUUGGGACUUAUGAGAGGUCAUGCGAGAGAUAGAAUGCUUGGGCUAUCAAUCCCCUUUCCCCUCUCUCGCAAAUCGCUGCUCGAUGGUCCCACGGCCAUGUUGUACACCUCACGUGGCCGAGCCUGGCAUUUGGUAUAUACCUAACUUCGGUUAGUAAGUUUUGUUGUUUCUAUAUUUCCUUUUUGAUUCCGUUGGUUAAGUAAAAUGGAAAUAACUAGCAACAGUGAAAAACCCAUCACAUCACUGAAGAUCACCCCACUCCACUCACAUGAGACCGCUUUGCAAAAAUGAAAAUAAUAACUUCACAUCAUUGAAGAUCCACACCCUUCCACUCAUACGAGAUCACAUCAUCUAACCUGAGAUCUGUCUUCCCCUUUUCCUCACACAAGAUCAUGUCAUAACGUGUGACAUAUAUCCUAAUGUCUAGCAUGACAACAAAUUAUCUAGCCGACCUGCCACUUGAGAUGUACCGAAACCCACACCACCAUCUGACAUGAAACAUACAUGCAAGAAAACGAGGCGGGGGUUUUGGGCCUGAUGAGAGGUCAUGCAAGAGCCACAAAGCUUGGGUCGUCAAUCCGCUUUAUCCUCCCUUGUGGAUCGCUGCUCGACGAACCCAUGACGAUGUUGGGCACCUCACAUGUCUGACCCUGGCAUUUGGUAUAUAAACUUCGGUUAGUAAGUUUUGGUGUUUCUAUAUUUCCUUUUUGAUUCGGUUUUCAACUUAUACUGAAAGAGUAUCCUCUGUCCGGUUCACCAACGAUAUGGAUGAAUUCCUCCCGAGGCAUACCACCCUAUUAAAUAGUCAAGCUCCUGCCUCCAUUUUCUAUAGCCUGGUGAUGUGGUACUAAUAACCAAAUGGACAAGCCCCACGGGAGAGACUAAUUGGUGUGGGUAAGAAAAUUAGGUUUUGUAAAUUAUUGGGCAUUGCCUAUUUGCAUACAAUAUUGAGGUGGAUGGCGCACAUGAGUGAUUAGGUGGUCCCUGACUUGCACACAUGACCACAUGGCACUCACCUUAUCCUUAGGGAGCGACUAAGUAUCUACUAUUGUGAGACGAAAC
rnacentral:lncRNA from 1 species